GACGAACGCUGGCGGCGUGCUUAACACAUGCAAGUCGAACGGAAAGGCACUGCUUGUGUGGGGUGCUCGAGUGGCGAACGGGUGAGUAACACGUGAGUAACCUGACCUUGACUUUGGGGUAACUUCAGGAAAGUGGGGCUAAUACAGGAUAGGAGAUCCUGCAGCAUGGUGGGGGUGGGAUAGUUUCGGCGGGUGGGGAUGGACUAGCGGCUUAUCAGCUUGUUGGUCGGGUAGUGGCUUACCCAGGAUGGGACUGGUCGCCCGCCCUAGAGCGGGGCCGGCCACCAUGCUCCUACGGGACGCCCCAGACUGCUAUGUUGGACAGCAGUGGGGAGUAUUGUACAAUGGGCCGACGUCUGAUACAGCAGCCCUCCGGUUGUGAUGACGUUUUGCUGGUUGUAAACCGCUUUCGCCUGUGACGAAGCUUUAGUGACGGUAAUGAGUAAAUAAGCACCGGCUAACUACGUG
rnacentral:rRNA from 1 species